GAUGAACGCUAGCGGCAGGCUUAACACAUGCAAGUCGAGGGGCAGCGCGAUGUAGCAAUACAUUGGCGGCGACCGGCGCACGGGUGCGUAACACGUAUGGAACUUACCCUUUACUGGGAGAUAGCCCGGAGAAAUCCGGAUUAAUAUCCCAUAAUAAACGAAGUGGCAUCACUUUGUUUUGAAAGCUCCGGCGGUAAAGGAUGGCCAUGCGCACGAUUAGCUAGUAGGUGAGGUAACGGCUCACCUAGGCUACGAUCGUUAGGGGGCCUGAGAGGGUUAUCCCCCACACUGGUACUGAGACACGGACCAGACUCCUACGGGAGGCAGCAGUGAGGAAUAUUGCGCAAUGGAGGCAACUCUGACGCAGCCAUGCCGCGUGCAGGAAGAAGGCGCUACGCGUUGUAAACUGCUUUUAACCGGGAAGAAACCCUCCGACGUGUCGGAGGUUGACGGUACCGGAGGAAUAAGCACCGGCUAACUUCGUGCCAGCAGCCGCGGUAA
rnacentral:rRNA from 1 species